UUCAAACAGAAAACUCAAAUGCCAUGUCAACACUUCCAAACACACCACACCCUUUCCAAUUGAAAUCAUGAAAUAGAGAAUGCAAGCCACCUAGACUGGAAGCCCAAAUUCUGUAUGAACCCUAACCCCCAAAUCGAUUUUGCCACACGAUUGAAGGACCUCAAAGCUUGAUUGUUGUAGCCGUUCACAUGGAGAGACCAUGUGGAGGUAAUCCCAAAACAUUUCUCCUUUUGAAGAGAUCUUGAAGCCAGACAUUGGUGCCUCAGGAGUUGGAUGUAUUUUCAGGGUUGUUUAUUACACUGGUCAUCAUUACCUGCUUACUGGCAUUCUUGGACUUGUGAUGGUAUGGAUUUGUUUAGCCAUGCUGACCGACAAGACUCUCUCAGGAACAAAAAAAAAACUUCAAAAAAUGUGUUCAUUUGUGUUUGCAAUUCUUGGCAUUCUGUUUGAGCAUAAUUGGAGUAUGCGCUGCUUGGAAGUUUCACAAUGGCAAAGGUGUUGACAACUUCUAUAGGCUCCACUCAUGACAAAGGCUGUUUUAGAGAAAAUGACUUUUCUUUACCUAUCAAAAAAAAAGAGAAAAUGACUCUUCUUCAAGCACACAACAUAAUAUCACACCUUUCAUCUGAGGCGUUGUUGGUGAACUUAUAGCAUGUUGAUAGUUGUUUUGGGUGGUUUUGUGAUUCUUGUUGUCGUCUCUCCUGUGCAUGGCAAAGGUGACAUUCUCAGAAGAUCUAUAGAAUAGUGUCACUUUUGUAGAGAGAGAUGUGACGAGAUUGAAAUUACUAAAAUUUUCUUGUUGACAGAUUUAAAGAAAAACCAAAUGAAAUUUAAGUUUUUGUACAAGAUUUUGAUUAUAUGAUGUUUCAACUUCAAUGAUUUUGUUACUGCAUAUGGACCAGAGUUGGGCGAUCUAUCAAGACUGAAAAACAAUAUUAUGGGACUAAAGCAAGCUGGCCAUCUAUAUAUCCCCUCUACUAUAACAGAGUGAAUCACAAUUGUAGUGUCACUUUUGUAGAGAGAGAUGUGACGAGAUUGAAAUUACUAAAAUUUUCUUGUUGACAGAUUUAAAGAAAAACCAAAUGAAAUUUAAGUUUUUGUACAAGAUUUUGAUUAUAUGAUGUUUCAACUUCAAUGAUUUUGUUACUGCAUAUGGACCAGAGUUGGGUGAUCUAUCAAGACUGAAAAACAAUAUUGUGGGACUAAAGCAAGCUGACCAUCUAUAUAUCCCCUCUACUAUAACAGAGGGAAUCACAAUUUACUGUUCAUUCUUGAAACCUCCAAUUCACACCUAAACAGGUUUACUAGUGUUCACUAUCUCAUUUUUUGCUGUUUAGUAUAUCUUCAAGCGGUAUAGAUAGACAUGGGAAAGUAGCUUUUCACUGUUGUUACCCAUAUCUUUCUUCAAGAUCUCGAUUUCUUCUUCUCUUCUCAAAUAUUCAAGGAACCCCUACUAUAUCUACAAAAACCCUUGACGAAAUUGCCUGCAAAUGUCAUUUACGGUCGACGAAAUCGAAUUUUCAGAAUAUCCUUUCUCUUUUUAUGAAUUGUUGGUGACGAUUUUAUUUUCUCACUAUUAAUCAUUAUUUUGUGUUUUCUUCUCAUUCGACUUCCUUUCGUAAAAUCUAGGAACAUUUCCACACGAGGUGGACAACAAAAGGGGAUUUCUUGAUGCGAAGUGGACUGUAGCGAUCUACUUUUUUCUUCCACCUUUGUUUGAAGAUUUGUGAUUCUUUCAGAAAAUCCACAUAAAGUGGAUCGUGCUAACCUCAAGAACAUUAGUCUCUUGUUUAUCCUUGAAUACGUUUAUCGAGUUUCGUAUUUUUGUUCCUGUUUGUCACUUUUCAAUCCUUGAUUGUGUUCCUACAAAUUUGUGUGGUAGUUUCUUCAAAACUUGAAGUGGUUUUAUAUUUACUUUAAUUUACGGUGUAUAGUCUUUUAAUUUCUUCUUUGGCUAUGUUUAAGUGUUCUAUUUCUUCUAUCUAUAUGUUUUAGCUUUGUAUAACUUUGUUUAGGGAGUAAAAAAUUUUACAUUUCUGUUGCCUUAGGUUCAUAGUUAUUGAGAUUGAUGAUUCUAAAUGUAUAGUCUUUAUUUAAUAAGGUUUUUUCAAAAGAAAACUUUUCAUCCUUUUGAUUUCUACUCAGUUUAUGUACAAAUUUUCUAUUGUUUUACAGUUGUACUUCCCUUUGAAGAAAAAACUGUUGAAUACAAUUUCACUUUCAGUAAGCUUGAAGGAAAAUCAUAAGAAUGAACUGAAAUUUGUAUUUCAUGCAUUAUGUAAAAGUAAUUCUUAGUGUUUAAACAAUUAAAGGAAUCCCAAUUUACCGUUCAUUCUUCAAACCUCUGUUCAUACCUAAAUUGGUUCACUACUGUUCACUAUCUCAUUUUUUGUUGCUUGGUAAAUAUCUACAAGUGGUAUAGAUAGAUAUAGGAAAGCAGCUUUUCACUGUCGUUACCCAUAUAUUUCUUUGAGACUUUGAUUUCUUCUUCUCUUCUCAAAUAUUUGAAGAACCCCUAAUAUAUCUAUAGAAAAUCCUCGAUGAAAUUGCCUACAAAUCUCAUUUACAGUCGACGAAAUUGAAUCUUCUAAAUAUUCUUUUUCUCUUUUUGUGAAUUGUUGGUAACAAUUUUAUUUUCUUACUAUUAAUCGUUUGAUUGUGUUUUCUUCUUAUUCGACUUCCUUUCGUAAAAUCUGAUAAUAUUUCCACACAAAGUGGACAACAUAAGGGGAUUUCUUGACGUGAAGUAGACUGUAGCCAUCUACCUUUGUUUGGAGAUUUGUGAUUCUUUCAGAAACCCACACAAAGUGGAUCGUGCUAACUUCAAUGGACAACAUAAGGAGAUUUCUUGACGUGAAGUAGACUGUAGCCAUCUACCUUUUCCUUCUACCUUUGUUUGGAGAUUUGUGAUUCUUUCAGAAACCCACACAAAGUGGAUUGUGCUGACCUCAAAAAAUUUCCACGCGAAUUGGACAACAAAAGGAGAUUUCUCGAUGCGAAGUGGAUUGUAGCGACCUGCCUUUUUCUUCUACCUUUGUUCGAAGCUUUGUGAUUCUUUCAGAUAACCUAUGCACAGUGGAUCGUGCCAACCUCAAGUACGUUUGUCUCUUGUUUAAAGGGUAUACAUUUUUCGAGUUUUGUAUUUUUUUCCCUAUAUGUUUGUCACUUUUCAAUUUCAUUUGUGUUCCUAUGGAUUUGUCUAGUAGUUUCUUCAAAGCUUGAAGUGGUUUUAUAUUUGCUUUACUUUAUGGUGUAUGAUUUCUAUUUCUUCUCUGACUAUGUUUAAGUGUUCUAUUUCUUCUUUCUAUAUGUUUUAGUUUUGUGAAACUUUGUUUGAAGAGUAAAAAGUUUUACAUUUUUGUUGCCUUAGGUUCAUAGUUAUUGAGAUUGAUGAUUCUAGAUGAAUAGUCCUUGUUUAGUAAGGUUUUUUAAAAGAAAAUUAUUCAUCCUUUUGAUUUUUACUCGGUUUAUAUACAAGUUUUCUAUUGUUUUGCAAUUGUACUUCCCUUUGAGUAAAAAAAUAUUGAAUAAAAUUUCACUUUCAGUAAGCCUGAAGGAGAAUCAUACGAAUGAACUGGAAGUUGUAUUUCAUGCAUUAUGUAAAAGUAAUUCUUAUUGUUCAAACAUUUGAAGUAAGAAUCAGUUCUUGUAGACAUACUUUGCAUAUCGAACUCUCUUUAAGUUUAUUAAUAUUGAUUGAGCAGUUUCUUGUUUUAGUUUAUCCUUUAUAAUACGUGUGCUGAAAUAUGUCACAAAUAAGCCUUUGUUCCUCUUCUGAAAUGAUCGCUAUGCCUAAACAAGCUUUUGUUAUAUUCUCUUCUUAAAUGACUGCUAUGUUGGAGAUUUGGGAUUAGCUAUGCCUAAGUAAG